GAAAUGCGAUAAGUAAUGUGAAUUGCAGAAUUCAGUGAAUCAUCGAAUCUUUGAACGCACCUUGCACCCUUUGGUAUUCCUAAGGGUACACCCGUUUGAGUGUCAUUGUAAUCUCACUUCAACAUCUUUUUGUUUGAAUGUGGACUUGGAUGUUGCCGUGUAACUACGGCUCAUCUCAAAUGCCUGAGUGUACCCUGCUUUGCAGCGUAUUCGGUGUGAUAAUUCUUCACCGGUAGUGUCUCUUGUUAGACAGCGCUUGCUUGUGGGCUCUAUGCUUCAAACCGUCCCUUGGGACAAUCUCUGACAAUUUGACCUCAAAUCGGGUGGGACUACCCGCUGAACUUAA
rnacentral:misc_RNA from 1 species